GUGCUGGUAGCUUAAUCGGAUAGAGCACUUGGCUACGAACCAAGAGGUUGGAGGUUCGAUCCCUCUCCAGCAUA